GAUGAAGAACGUAGCGAAAUGCGAUAAGUAGUGUGAAUUGCAGAAUUCAGUGAAUCAUCGAAUCUUUGAACGCACAUUGCGCCCCUUGGUAUUCCGAGGGGCAUGCCUGUUCGAGCGUCAUUACAACCCUCAGGCCCCCGGGCCUGGCGUUGGGGAUCGGCGGAGCCCCCCGUGGGCACACGCCGUCCCCCAAAUGCAGUGGCGGUCCCGCCGCAGCUUCCAUCGCGUAGUAGCUAACACCUCGCGACUGGAGAGCGGCGCGGCCACGCCGUAAAACACCCAACUCUUCUGAAGUUGACCUCGAAUCAGGUAGGAAUACCCGCUGAACUUAAGCAUAUCAAUAAGCGGAGGA
rnacentral:misc_RNA from 1 species